rnacentral:rRNA from 1 species
AACGAACGCUGGCGGCAGGCCUAACACAUGCAAGUCGAGCGCCCAGCAAUGGGAGCGGCAGACGGGUGAGUAACGCGUGGGAACCUUCCCAAUGGUACGGAAUAGCUCAGGGAAACUUGAGGUAAUACCGCAUAAGCCCGAAAGGGGAAAGAUUUAUCGCCAUUGGAUGGGCCCGCGUAGGAUUAGCUAGUUGGUGAGGUAAUGGCUCACCAAGGCGACGAUCCUUAGCUGGUUUGAGAGAAUGACCAGCCACACUGGGACUGAGACACGGCCCAGACUCCUACGGGAGGCAGCAGUGGGGAAUCUUGGACAAUGGGCGAAAGCCUGAUCCAGCCAUGCCGCGUGAGUGACGAAGGUCUUCGGAUUGUAAAGCUCUUUUGCCAGGGACGAUAAUGACGGUACCUGGAGAAUAAGCCCCGGCUAACUUCGUGCCAGCAGCCGCGGUAAG